rnacentral:lncRNA from 1 species
AUGGCAGAAUGUAGUAUAGUCAUGAUUACAUGUCUUUUUCUAUACUCUGUUUUUCAUAAAGUUUUUAAUUGUCCCUCUCUCUUUUUUUUUUUCAUUAUCUCCCAUGAUUUCUUCCAAAAUUCUCAUACUACCUGGUCAAUGAAGACUUCUUUUUCUAGGAGAUUUCCAGUCCCUGCUACCCCUCCAGCCUCUAAACCAACUGCACUCCAGGCCUGUGGAGCAGUUAUCGCUGAGACUGCCUGCACUGCAAUACUAGUGUCUCUGACCAGUUUUGGCAUGAGGGUAUUGCUGGCCUUUGAAAAUGAGUUCAGAAGUGUGCCUUCCUCUUCAAGUUUUUGGAAGAGUCUGAGAAUUGGUAUUAAAAUCUUCAAAUGUUUGGUGAAAUUCACGAGUGAAGCUCUCUCCUCCUGGACUUUUGUUUCUUGGGAGGUUUUUGUUUACUGAUUCAAUCUUGUGGCUGUUUUGUAAUUCUUCUUUGUUUCUUUCUUCCCUUGUGCCUUGAUGACUUUAUGUAAUAUUCUGCUCAGAUUCCUUUCUUAUCUUUUAUGUAUCUACUAUAGGUUUUCUUUUUAUGGCAUAACAAGGCUCACAUAUAAUGACCUAUUUGUAUAACCACUAUUUUAAGAUGAUAGCAAGUUAUGCUCCACAAACAAGUGAAACCAUAUGAUAACUGACUCUCUCUGCUUGACUUAUUUCACUCAGCAUAAUCUCUUCCAGUCCCGUCCAUGUUGGGUACUCAUGGGGAGAUGGAGCAGAGAAGGGAGUUGAGGGAAAUUGGAAGGGGGAGGUGAACCAUGAGAGACUAUGGACUCUGAAAAACCACCUGGGGGUCUUGAAGGGGUGGGGGGUGGAAGGUUGGGGGAACAAGGUGGUGGGUAUUAGGGAGGGCAUGUAUUGCAUGGAGCACUGGGUGUGGUGCAAAAACAAUGAAUACUGUUAUGCUGAAAAGAAAUAAAUUUUUUUUUAAAAAAGACAACAUAAAUAAGACCAAAAAAAAAAAAAAAGAUGAUAGCAAGUUAAGUCUGAACACAUUUUUAAAACUCUAUUUUUACUGCCCCACUCCCAAUUUUAUGUUUAAUGUCACAUUUUACAUCUUGUUAUUUUGUAUGUCCCUUAACCAAUUAUUGUAGUUGUAGUUAUUUUUACUAUUUUCUUUUAAACUUCAUACUAGCGUUAUAAAUUAUUAACCCACUAUCUUAUCUAUAGAUUGACAUUUACCACUGAGUUUUUUACUUUUGUAUGUUUUCUUGUUGCAAGUUAGUGCUCUUUUCUUUCGGCUUAAACAAUUCCCUUUAGUAUUUCUUGGAUAAGGCUGGUUAAGUAGUGCCAAACUCCUUUAGCUUUUGCUUGUCUGGGAAACUCUCUCUCUCCCCUUCAGUUCUGAAUGAUAACCUUCCUGGGUAAAGUAUUCUUGGUUGGAAUUCUUUCCUUUCAGCACCUGAAAGUAUCAUGCUGUUCCCUUUGGGGCCUUAAAAAGUUUCUGCUGAGAAAUUUGUUGGCAGCCUUGUGGAGGGAGGAAGUUCCCUUGUAUAUAACAAGUUGUUUUUCUUUUGCUGCUUUUAAUCACUCAUCAUGUUUUAAUUUCAUAGUUUUGAUUUAAUCUUUUCUAAAUACAGCACUGGAUUAAUACAGAACAAGAGAACAAGAGUCCCCAGCAAAGGAGCCAGAUUGGUAUUAGCACCACCCCCCUUUCACCACCUCCCCAGCCCUUUGAGUUUUAUUUUUUAGGGAUAAUGGCAUCUCUAAGACACCACUUUAUGUUCAUGAAGGCCAGAGCUUUUGAAGUAGCUCAUAAGCCCAACAGAAAUCACAGAGUUUUUAUUUCAUGGUGACUUCUUAACCUUUCUUACCCUGCUAAUGAGGGUGCUUUUACCAGACAUUCUGAGCUGUAACACAUAGUGGAGUUAGGUCUACAGAAAAAUGUCAGAUUUUUCAAUGGUGUGCCCUAAGAUUUCACCCUUCUCUAAGAUUUUUACUUUAAAAAACUAUCUUCAGCCAUGGGUUACAUUCUUUUACUUACGAAGCCAUUUUUUAAAAAAAUAAACCCUAGGCGUGCCUGGAUGGCUGAGUCGGUUAAGUGUCCUACUCUUGGUUGCAGCUCAGGUCAUGAUCUCAGGGUCAUGGGAUCAAACCCCUCGUCAGGCUCAGCACAGAGUCUGCUUGAUAUUCUUACCCUCUCCCUCUGUCCCUUCCUCCACUCAUGCUCUCUAAAAUAAAUAAAUAAAAUCUUUGAAAACCCCUAUAUUGAAUUAUAGCUUUGCAUAUAAUAAAAUGUACCCAUUCUAAGUGUACAGUUUUAACAAAUGUAUAUACUUAGUGAGUAUUCCAACACCCUCCCCACAACCAAAACCCCCCUAAUGCCCUUUAUAGUUAGUUCUCUCUCUACACUCAGCCUUAGCCAACUGCUCUGCUUUCUAUCAUGAUAAAUUAGUUUUACUUUUUCAAGAAUAUUCUGUGAACAGUAUGUAUUCUUUUGGGGUCUGGAUUUUUUACUUAGUAUAAACCUUUUGAGGUUCAUCAAUGUUGUUGUAUGCAUGUAUAACCAGUUCUUUCAUUCCUGAGUAGUAUCCCGUUUUAUGGAUAGAACAGCAUUUGUCGAUCCUUUCGCCUGCUAAUUGGAUGAUGUCCCUAUAGGGGCUGUUAUGAGUAAAGCUGCCAUAGAUAUUUGUGAAUAAGUUUCUGUGCAGUAUUAAUUUCUCCUAAAAAAUAUCUAAAAGCAAAUGCCUGUGUUAUAUAAUUAAGUAUGUGUUUAGCUUUUAAGAAACUACAAGCUACUUUCCAGAAUGGUUGUAUCAUUUUGAACUGCCACUAGUAAUAGAGCUGACCCUGGAACAAUGUGGUUGUUAAAAGCCCAAACCCCAAAUGCCCAGUUGAAAAUCUGAGUAUAACUUUUAUCCCCCCAAAACUCACUUCUAAUAACCUAUGGUUAACCAGAAUCCUUACCAAUAACAUAAACAGUCAACCAAUACAUAUGUUUAUAUGGAUUAUAUACUGUAUUCUUAUAAUAAACUAAAGAUUAAGAAAAUAUAUUUAUAGUACUAUACUACACUUACUGAAAAAAAUCCACAUAUUAGUGGACUAGCAUAGUUCAAACCCAUGUUGUUCAAGGGUCAACUGUAUAAUACAUUCACAGAGCGUUAAGUGCUACAGAGA